AUUGAACGCUGGCGGCAGGCCUAACACAUGCAAGUCGAGCGGAUGAAGGGAGCUUGCUCCUGGAUUCAGCGGCGGACGGGCGAGUAAUGCAUAGGAAUCUGCCUGGUAGUGGGGGAUAACGUCCGGAAACGGGCGCUAAUACCGCAUACGUCCUGAGGGAGAAAGUGGUGGAUCUUCGGACCUCACGCUAUUAGCUGAGCCUAGGUCGGAUUAGCUAGUUGGUGGGUAAAGGCCUACCAAGGCGACGAUCCGUAACUGGUCUGAGAGGAUGAUCAGUCACACUGGAACUGAGACACGGUCCAGACUCCUACGGGAGGCAGCAGUGGGGAAUAUUGGACAAAGGGCGAAAGCCUGAUCCAGCCAUGCCGCGUGUGUGAAGAAGGUCUUCGGAUUGUAAAGCACUUUAAGUUGGGAGGAAGGGCAGUAAGUUAAUACCUUGCUGUUUUGACGUUACCAACAGAGUAAGCACCGGCUAACUUCGUG
rnacentral:rRNA from 1 species